UACGUAGGGUGCGAGCGUUAAUCGGAAUUACUGGGCGUAAAGCGUGCGCAGGCGGUCUGUUAAGACCGAUGUGAAAUCCCCGGGCUCAACCUGGGAAUGGCAUUGGAUACUGGCUCGCUCGAGUGCGGUAGAGGGUGGUGGAAUUCCCGGUGUAGCAGUGAAAUGCGUAGAGAUCGGGAGGAACAUCUGUGGCGAAGGCGGCCACCUGGACCAGCACUGACACUGAGGCACGAAAGCGUGGGGAGCAAACAGG
rnacentral:rRNA from 1 species